ACUAAUUAUCACACUAAUUAACCCCUAAUUUUCUUUCUCUCUCCACAUUCUCUUUCCUCUCUCUUUUCUUCACCAAUCCACCGCCCUCCCACCUCCCACCUCCACCAUCUUGCCACCUCCACCGCCCUCCCACCUCCACCAUCGCGCCACCCCCUGCCGCCUCCACCCACGCCGCCUCUUCUUUUCCCUCCUACCUUGCUUUUUUCUUACCCCAAUUUCUAGGGUUCCCUGCUUCUCUUCGAAUUUUCGCCCCUUUGGUGAGUCCCGCCACCACCGUUGCCGUCGCACCGCCGCCCUCUGUCUCAGAUCUGUCUCUCACUCUAUCUUACUCUCUAUCUCCUGGGAAAUUGCAAGAGAUCUGUUUGUGUUCAAAUAGAAUGGAUUGGUGAAAUGGGUUGAAGCUUGAAGUUGCAGAUUUCUGGAAAUGUUUAUUAAAGCUUGAAGUUGGAAUGUAGAAUUGUAGAUUUUGUAUUUCUGCAUUCUAGAAGUUGAAUCUGCAUUCUGGAAAUGUAGAAUCUGCAUUCUGGAAGUUGUAUUUUUGAAUUACAGAUUGCAGAUUGUAGAUUGCAGAUUUCUGGAAAUGUUUAUUAAAGCUGGAAGUUGUAGAUUGUAUUUUUUGAAGCUUGAAGUUGGAAUGUAGAAUGGAUUUCCGGAGAUCUA